rnacentral:rRNA from 1 species
GAUGUCUGGAUAACUGUGGCAAUUCUAGAGCUAAUACAUGCAAUCAAGCUCCAACCUUCGUGGGACGAGCGCUCUUAUUAGACCAAGGCCAACCUGCUGGGCAACUGGCAGUUAGCUGUGGUUACUCUGGAUAAACACAGUUGAUCGCACGACUUUACGUCGGCGACGUAUCUUUCAAGCGUAUGCCCUAUCAGCUGUCGACGGUAGGGUAGCGGCCUACCGUGGCAUCAACGGGUAACGGGGGAUCAGGGUCCGAUCCCGGAGAGUAAGCCUGAGAGACGGCUUACACAUCUAAGGAAGGCAGCAGGCGCGCAAAUUACCCAAUGGGGAAACCCUGAGGUAGUGACAAGAAAUAACAAUACGCGACUCUUUCGAGGCCGCGUAAU